GGCGCUGGAGCCAGAUGGCCAGGCGGCUGCCUGCAAAGCAGUCGAAGUGGGUUCGAUUCCCACCGGCGUCU
rnacentral:tRNA from 1 species